CGCACAUUGCACCCCCCGGUAGCCCGGGGGGUAUGCCUGUCCGAGCGUCAUUUUUAGACCGUCAAGCCCCGCUUGGUAUUGGACCCCGCCCCCCACCGUUGAGGGCGGGCCUUAAAUCGGUCGGCCGGCUGCCGCGGCGAGUUACGGGGGGCAGUAGAACUGCAAUACGCCCUCGUAGGACCCGAGGCCCGCCGCGCCCCUAACGAUAGCUUCGCGCAUAACCACGAAAUUGACCUCGGAUCAGGUAGGGAUACCCGCUGAACUUAA
rnacentral:misc_RNA from 1 species